UACGUAGGAUCCGAGCAUUAUCCGGAGUGACUGGGUGUAAAGAGUUGCGUAGGUGGCAUGGUAAGUAGAUAGUGAAAUCUGGUGGCUCAACCAUUCAGACUAUUAUCUAAACUGCCAAGCUCGAGACCGUUAGGGGUAACUGGAAUUUCUAGUGUAGGAGUGAAAUCCGUAGAUAUUAGAAGGAACACCGAUAGCGUAGGCAGGUUACUGGGACGGUUCUGACACUAAGGCACGAAAGCGUAGGGAGCAA
rnacentral:rRNA from 1 species